GCCGAGGUGGCGGAAUCGGCAGACGCGCGGGACUCAAAAUCCCGUGGUGGCAACACCGUGUGGGUUCAACUCCCUCCCUCGGCA
rnacentral:tRNA from 1 species